GUGGGUUGGCUCAGUGGUUAGAGCUUAGGUCUCGUAACAGCAGGUCGCGGGAUCGAAACCCGCUAGAGAGUGACA
rnacentral:tRNA from 1 species